rnacentral:lncRNA from 1 species
ACAUUAAUGAAUAUUACUGUGUAAGAUCUCUGUAGUAGGACUUGAAUUCCCUUAGGUGCCCACUGAAGAUUGUAUAGCUGGGUCAUAUUGCAGGACUAUUCGUGGUUUUCUCAGAAGCUUUUAUGCUGAUUUCCAUAAUGGCCACACUAGCUACAAUCCACCAGCAGCGAACGGUUCUCCUCUUUCCCCACAUCCUCCUCCUCACAUUUUAUCUUCAGCUUUCUUCAUGUAAGUCAUUCUGACUGGGAUGAGAUGGGAUCUCAAGGAGUUUUAAUAUUUCUUUCCCCAAUGCAUGAGACUAUUGAACACCAUUUUAUUUCUAAUAGAAAUUUGGCCCUCCUAGACUGCCAAUAUUUGGCUUGAAUUAAUUAUUGGUAAUGUAAUUUCUUGCUUAUUUUCCAUUUUAAUUCAGUCUUAAAUUUUUAUUUUCAUAGAAAUAACUUAUUCUGUUAUCUGUGUGUAUAUCUGUGUGUGCAUAUAUAUGUGUGCAACACGUGUAUACAUGUGUGUGGAGUCCUACAGUUGACGUCAGUUAUCUUCCUUUAACAUGCUCUACCUUAUUUUAUUUUUCUUUUGAGACUGUAUUUCUUACUGAACCUGGAAUUCACCAAAUGGCUGGACUGACUAGCCUGUACAGUUUGGCAUUCUCCUGCUUCCAUCUCACCAGCUCUGGGGUUAGAAGCACACUCUACACCUGGCUUUUUGCAUGGGUGUUGGGGAUCCGAAGUCAGGCCUUCAUGAUUGUGAGGCUCUUGUGACCGAGUGAAGACUGGGGCUCAGAGCUCUCUUGGAUUUGACACAGCUCCUUGUUCCUUCCUGCUUCCGAGGAGGAUUCACAUGAGUGGAAGCAGCUCCUGGUAGAAAUGGUCCCUCAUCACGCCAUCUGCAAUUCCGUGAAGGAAACGUCUGCUCUGCUGAGCUGCCAUUCCGGGACGACGUUGGAGGAGGUCAACGAGGCCCCAGCUGCGGGGACUCUGCUCAAAUGGAAACUCCAUUCUCUGCUCUCUGACUCAGAUCCCUCCUGGGUCUCUGGUUUACUCCAUUUCCCCCCACUUCCCUCCUCUGGUCUCAUUUUAAAUAGAAUCCACCAGCAAUCAGAGCGUGAGGCCAGCAGCCCAAGUUGGAAACGAACCCCAGCUCUAGGGAAGGGGGGCAGGUAGAGGCACGGCUGAAGGACGUCUCCUGCUGGAGACAACAGCCGCCCAGUUCUUCCAAAUGGCUCUACUUUCCCGGCUCUGGCUCUUUCCUUAAUGGCCAUGCCUUCCCUGGAGCCUGGAAACUGGGACAAGGCAGCGUUGUGCAGCAGGAGACGGGCUGCCUAGGCUCCCGGGGACCAGUACGUCCCCUGCAUCUUGGGCAGUUUCUAUCUGAGGAACCAGGACUGAAGGCAUUGAGAACUUAGAGGGGAGGCUUCAUCUCCCUUGCAGACAAUAAGGGUGUUGGAAUGUUCAAGCAGAAGAUGGACGCACCUUUCUGUGUGGCCAUGAGGCAGGCUGAGCAGGAGGCCAUGGCUCAGGGGAGGGUGCUGGUUCUGAUUGGGCGGUGGGUUUGGCGCACCAGGCUGAGAACUGUGACCCAAUAGGUCUUCACUGAUGGAUGGAUCUCAGAGAGCUGACCUAUUCAGAUCUCCCAGGUGACACAGCAGUCUCAUAGUAGGGGCUUUGUAUGGACCAGAUGUUCUGACUGUUCCAACUGUCCUCUAAAAGGCCGGCGUCGAUUUAAAGCCUCAGGUGAGUACAGACAGGGAAACUUGCAGCCAGUGGGUGGGUGGGCAGAGCCAGAACUCAGCCAAGUCAAUUGACCCCAAAUCCCACAUUGGGUAUUCUGAUCCCCAAACCUGUUUUCAGACUCAAGGUCUACUCAAGGGAGCAACCCUAUCCCUCCAUUCACAGCUAAGUGCUUCUAGGAUUGGGGACUGUGUAGCCACAAUUCCACCCUGUCCUGGGGCAGAUUUAAUCUCCAGAGACUCCUCAAAUGAUUCUCUCAUCUUUGAGACCUUUAAGUGUUGGGUGGUUUGGAGAGCCUUAGGUCGGUAUCUUUGCUUCCACUGUGAAGCUCCUGCAGCAGCAGGGGUGGAAACUUGUGUGCACAGACUGGGAUGUCACAGAACAGGUCAGA